CGGUUUAAAAGACACAGCCACAUCCGAUUUUAUAAAGUCUACCACUUCAAUCAAAACCAUUUAGCUAGUUAAGUUUAAUCGGCAAUAGUUUAUUUAAAUGUUGGCAAUAAACAGUAUCUACGCAGAUUGCCUAAACUUGGAAACAAAGACAAAAACCGGAAGUUACCUGUUCAAGCGUACCACCAUUUCUUAAUUGGCAGAAAUGGGCUCGCCACGCCCAUAUUUUUAUUUCGAAAAUUAUUUUCCACAUAAAGGAGGCAAACACAAAAAAAAUUCUCUAGAUCAGGUUAUGAGUUAUGAGUCAGUGUUGAGUAGACGUAAUUAAUUCAAGCUUAGUCUCUUAAAAACACCUGAAAAUCACCUGCCCUAUCAAUAACGCUUAACAAACUUUUUCCCAAGAUCAUUUCCAAGGUAUAAGCAAUCAGCAAAAUAAACCCCUAGAAACAGUACCAGAGCAGCUUGGCCCGAAGGAUCAAUGAUGAGGAAUACAUAUGAAACAUGUAUGGGUUCUUCUGUAAUGCAGACGACACUGCACUGAGAAAUAAAUAGAUCUUACUCGUUGCAAAUACCUUUGUGUUUGUUUGAAUGGAAGCUUUACCAAAAGAAGUCGAUGGAUUAUUUAUUACACCACCUUCUUACCUGAUCUGGAUACAAACAGAAAUGCACCCACACAAUGUCUUUUCUUGUCAUUGUGAUACUAGUCUGCAUGAACCUACAGCAGUACAAGAGCAACAGUCAGUUUGGUUUAACUUGUGUAGCAAAUGAAUGUAAUUGUGCUCAAUCAUGUCUAUGUAUGUUUAAUGAAGGUAUUUUUCUUUCUUUUUCCUGUAUGUUGUGUCUUUCCUUAGCCUGUAUAGUAUUUCAUGAAAAAAAACAAUAGCAAAAGCAGAAAUGUACCAUAAGUUGAGUUUAUUUAGGCUGAUCCUUUUUUACAGCCACCAGGUUCCAGUGGUUAUAUAAAAGACUGACACUGACAGCUUGGCAACAAUCCUGUCCAUCGUCCUGACUGACAGUUGGAAGCUGAGCCUGCAUUUCAUGACCCCAUUAAGCUGAUCUGUGUCAGCAUGGCUUCAAAAGAUGUAGAAAUACUUUCUGCCUUUGUGAGCCUUACCUAUCCUGUCUGUUACUGUGUACUCCAUUUAAAGUGGGCCUCAUUUAACACGUGCAAAUAACAUAUUAUUCACCUGGAUGUUAAGGAUGUAUUAUUUUGUCAUUUGUUUCGUUUUGAUGCUUUAUCUCACUGAAGUCCUUUGUGCUAUUGUAAACCACUAUAUAUUCUCUGUCACACAAUGUCUGUGGUGUGAGGAAUAAAAACAGAAUCUUCA